ensembl:lncRNA
GAGUUUCCACACAGGAGCUGAAGAAAGAUGAUCGUGUUCUUAGUACCCAGCUGCAGUGAGGGCUCAGAUGGUGUGCAUGGAUAUCCUCAAAGUCUGUCUGGCUGUCAUCUCCAGAGGCUAGCUUCCUAAAGGGGAAUGACUCCUGGAUGAUGGUCACUUCCUGAGAAGCAGUGCUCUAUGGCUAGGGACCCUCUCCCCAGUUGGGCUGACUGUUGUUACUGCUUAGAUAAAUCAAAAAAAUGCAACCUUCCUAGAACAGAGGACAUUUGUGAUGGUGCUGUCUCAAGCUGUGUGAACAGAGCUGGCAAAGGAACCACAUGAAGACAAGAAAAGGACCCUGAACAGCCCCCAGUUUGUGAUCUGCUGCAGCAUGUUAUCUUUUCCAAGCGUGAGCAUUCCACUCUUCUAUUUCCUACUCUGGAAAAGUAUCUGUCUGUCUUCCACCCAAAAAGAGCGAAGACAGGGAAUGCAGCAGUGCUGGGGAUCUCUGUGACACAUCACAUAUACAGCGUGGAAUUACAAGAGAUAAAGUUGCCUUUUGUGGAUGUUGUGCACAUCCCUUGAUUUGACUAGAUUUAGUGGAUGAACAAAUCAUUGGAAAUGAAAAGAUAGAGCUAAAUAUUAAAUGGCAGAAUACAAAGGAGAUUAAAUGUACUCAUGGAUAUUUUAUUACUUGGAAAAUAUUCUUUGAGAAGUAACUUUUUUAAAAAAACUUUUUUCAUCUGCUUGCCAGUAUUCUUUAAUGAAGCUCCAUUUUGGAUGAAUAAACAGCAAGGGAUGAUGUU